rnacentral:rRNA from 1 species
GACGAACGCUGGCGGCGUGCCUAACACAUGCAAGUCGAGCGAAUGAAGUUCUUUCGGGAAUGGAUUUAGCAGCGGACGGGUGAGUAACACGUGGGCAACCUGCCUCAUAGAGGGGAAUAGCCUUCCGAAAGGGAGAUUAAUACCGCAUAAGAUUGUAGUACCGCAUGAUACAGCAAUUAAAGGAGCAAUCCGCCAUGAGAUGGGCCCGCGGCGCAUUAGCUAGUUGGUGAGGUAACGGCUCACCAAGGCGACGAUGCGUAGCCGACCUGAGAGGGUGAUCGGCCACAUUGGGACUGAGGCACGGCCCAGACUCCUACGGGAGGCAGCAGUGGGGAAUAUUGCACAAUGGGGGAAACCCUGAUGCAGCAACGCCGCGUGAGUGAUGACGGCCUUCGGGUUGUAAAGCUCUGUCUUCAGGGACGAUAAUGACGGUACCUGAGGAGGAAGCCACGGCUAACUACGUGCCAGCAGCCGCAGUAA